UAAAGACAGACUUGCAGUUCAGCCACAGGA
rnacentral:piRNA from 1 species